UGUCAGCAGAGGGGAACGAAGUUAAGCAGGUGGGACACUAUACCCUUCUUUUCCCAGCAGGAGGACUCCUGCACACAGUUGGAAGGUAGCACGAUAUAGGGGAGAGGUUACUGAGCCAGGAGUCAGGAAACUGCUUUUUGGCCAGGCUUUGCUAUAUGACCUUGGGCCAGUCUCUUGACCUCUCUGAUCCUCAGCACCUCUGCUGGUUGGACAAAAGCCCCUCUGGCCUUGGAACUCUAGAGAGGGCCCCAUCUGGAAAGGCUGCCUUUGCCCCUGGAACCCGAAGAUGGCCUCAUCAUCUACUGAGAUCAUCCUAAACACACACUCAGCAACUGGCUUUUUUCACCGAGGGUCAGAUCAGAGCCUUUUCUCCAGAUGUUGGGAUCCCGGCAGCCUUCUCGAGCUGGAAGUGUCCUUGGAGAGCAUGAAGCCUGGCUCUCUCUCUUCUCACUGAUAAGGAAGCAGGCUCCGAUCAGAGGCAGGAAUCAGCUUGGUGAGGUCCCAGCCAGUUCAAGGCCGAGGUAGGCGCCCUCCGGCCUCACACCUGCCUUCCUUCCAGCUGUGUCUGCCCCAUUCUCUCCUCCCCUGUACACCGCAUUCCACAUAACUUCUCUCCCCAGCUUAUCAAACCUCCCCCGGAAGUCAACCACUGACCAGAACGAAUCACAGCUUCCUUACAGGCAUUCAAGCUCAGCCCUGUCCAGUCACACUUCAGACCCAAAUGCAAAUACCACCUCUUCCGUGGUGUCUUCCCUGACUGCCUCAGCUUCUCAACAGAGCACAGUAGUCUCUGCUCUGCAAGCAGCCCCUCUCUUCUGGCCACUCCUGCCAGAAGGAGCCACAUCACAGAAGGGCCUACCAGAAGGGGGCAGUGCACCACCAAAGAAAGGUCUCCCUAAAGGUCAAGGUCACCAGGGGACCAGAGGCCGGGCACAAACCCUUUGGUGUGCUCUCCCUCAUCUCCAGUGUGCAUGCCUGUAGGAAUACGGGGUUCCACCCCAGUGGUGUGGCCUUUGGCAGCGCCCCCACCCCGCCUCAGUUUGCAUUUCUCAAUAGAGAGGGUUGGACCAGCUCCGCGUUUCUGAAAGCGCCGUGAAGCACAAAGUGACUUCAGGAGAUAA